CGCGCAGGCGGGAUAAAAAAGUCAGUGGUGAAAUCCUACAGCUUAACUGUAGAACUGCCCUUGAUACUUUUAUUCUUGAGUUCGGGAGAGAGAGACGGAAUUCCAGGUGUAGUGGUGAAAUACGUAGAUAUCUGGAAGAACACCAGUUGCGAAGGCGGUCUCUUGGUCCGACACUGACGCUGAGGCGCGAAGGUGCGGGGAGCAAACA
rnacentral:rRNA from 1 species